rnacentral:rRNA from 1 species
CCUACGGGUGGCAGCAGUGAGGAAUAUUGGUCAAUGGACGAGAGUCUGAACCAGCCAAGUAGCGUGAAGGAUGACUGCCCUAUGGGUUGUAAACUUCUUUUAUAUGGGAAUAAAAUGUUCCACGUGUGGGAUUUUGUAUGUACCAUAUGAAUAAGGAUCGGCUAACUCCGUGCCAGCAGCCGCGGUAAUACGGAGGAUCCGAGCGUUAUCCGGAUUUAUUGGGUUUAAAGGGAGCGUAGGUGGAUUGUUAAGUCAGUUGUGAAAGUUUGCGGUUCAACCGUAAAAUUGCAGUUGAAACUGGCAGUCUUGAGUACAGUAGAGGUGGGCGGAAUUCGUGGUGUAGCGGUGAAAUGCUUAGAUAUCACGAAGAACUCCGAUUGCGAAGGCAGUUCACUGGACUGCAACUGACACUGAGGCUCGAAAGUGUGGGUAUCAAACAGGAUUAGAUACCCUAGUAGUC